AUUUUAUAAAACUAGCACGCUUCAUCGAUAAUACAAUCACAGACUUUGCAUCUUGUUUAAGCUAAUGGUUUCUGGACCAAAUGGCAUUUUCUCUUCUUAGCACACAGCCACAUGACUAAAUUGUUAAAUUGUACAUGAUUUCUUCAACCUCUGACUUAGGGUGGAAUGUAUGCUUAUGUGUCUAGGCAUCUUGUUGUUUGUAAUUUAAUGCUUAUCUUAAAGCAUUCAUUAAAUAAAGAAAAAAUUGUUGAAGCCGCAUUAUAUCAGGAAGCAGACUAGGCAGAAAUCACUCUAGCUUACCUUUUCUUCUUGGUAGAAUUACAAUGAUGGAAGGUAUUUUUAGCAUAGACCACCCAAACAAGAUCACCACAUUCAGUUUAGGUAAAAUAGUAAAAUGAAGGUUCCUGCAAACACAAAAACAAAGUCUGCUGAGCCACUAUAUUCAUUAAAUGGAAUGAAUUUGAGCUUAAAGGACCAUCCUUGCAUAGGAAGAUAUCUACCAUCUCAGAGCUGAAGAGAACCAUUGGAUGACGGUCUCUCAAUCGCCUAUUCAAGAUUUUGCUUGCCCAUCAAAGCUUCAUGUGUUUGGAAAUAAAAGAAGGGGGCUCAAUUAUAUUUCUUCUUUCUUUGCCCAACAACGAUCGACAACCCAAACAGAUUGAGGGGAGAGGAAUAGAAGGACCUUCGAAGAGCAGGAGACACCUACAGAGAGGGUGAAAUCCCAUUUUGUUGGAACUUUAUUUUGCUGGGUGCCUUUUAGA